AUGAAGAACGUAGCGAAAUGCGAUACCUGGUGUGAAUUGCAGAAUCCCGCGAACCAUCGAGUCUUUGAACGCAAGUUGCGCCCGAGGCCACUCGGCCGAGGGCACGCCUGCCUGGGCGUCACGCCAAAACACGCUCCCAACCCCCUCAUCAGGAAUCAGGAUGUGGCAUCUGGUCCCUCGUUUCGCAAGGGGCGGUGGACCGAAGAUCAGGCUGCCGGCGUACCGCGCCGGACACAGCGCAUGGUGGGCGUCCUCGCUUUAUCAACGCAGUGCAUCCGACGCGCAGCCGGCAUGAUGGCCUCAAAAUGA
rnacentral:misc_RNA from 1 species